rnacentral:snoRNA from 1 species
ACGAUCUCACUUGAACAUAAUUUGUUCUAUAGGAUUGUACUACUGUGUUCUUGAUUUCUAAGGAGACAGGAACAAAAAAAAUAUUUUU